UGAUGAUGAUGACAACAACAACAAUGUGAUGGUGAUUAUCAUGAUCAUGAUAAUGAUGAGUUAAACUAAGUUUUCUGUGUACAUGUGCUCUGUUGCUAUUUCCCCAAAGGUACAGGGAUGCAUUAAUGUUUGAUUUAAACUCGGAAUGACCUCUCUGCUGGAAAAUCUCCUCAAAAUAUUUGAAUCUUCUGACAGUUACUAGCAUUAAUUUUGUGGAACUUUGAAUAGUGAGAAAAAAAUUUGUGCAGUUUUGUUUAAUAAAAUGGAUUGAUUAUAAGGUAACUGUUUUUUUUUAUCAUAUUAACAUCCAAAAAAGAUCAUGACUUAUCAUUUUAUUUUAUUUUUACACAUAUUAGGCUCUUUGUCUUUGUUUAAAGUUUGACUAAGAGAUAAGCUUUAUGCAUGUACUGUCAAGUAUGUUUCACUUUAUUCCAAAAUAAUUGACAAAUACUCAGUCAAGCAAUGUACUAAGUUUAAAAAUUAUCAUUCAAUUUGUACAAUGAAGUUGAAGAUGUAUAAAGAAAUGUUAUACACAUUUUUUCCAGACAAAACCCCCCCCAUAAGGAUGACAAUGUACUUGGACAAGAUUCUAAGACCUUUUUGAAAGAAAUAUGAAUAGGGGACUUCUAUAGCAGAAGAAGUAUAGCCAAACUUGCAGAAAACAACAACCGAAUGACUGCAUCACUAAAGAAAAGAAACAGGAUUUCUCCAAAUGUAGAAAUGCAGACAGCUCUUCACCAUCAACUGUGAUCCUUUGUAAUUUUGUGUACAUAUGAAACUAAAUGACUGCAAAGAAAUGUUUUUUGUUGUUCUUAGGUUGUUGUAUGCAUACUUCA